rnacentral:rRNA from 1 species
AAUCUUCCGCAAUGGACGAAAGUCUGACGGAGCAACGCCGCGUGAGUGAUGAAGGUUUUCGGAUCGUAAAACUCUGUUGUCAGGGGAGAACAAGUAUCGGAGGAACUGCCGGUACCUUGACGGCACCUGACCAGAAAGCCACGGCUAACUACCUGCCAGCAGCCGCGAUAAUACGUAGGUGGCAAGCGUUGUCCGGAAUUAUUGGGCGUAAAGCGCGCGCAGGCGGUCUUUUAAGUCUGAUGUCAAAGCCCCCGGCUCAACCGGGGAGGGUCGUUGGAAACUGGGAGACUUGGUUGCAGAAGAGAAGAGUGGAAUUCCACGUGUAGCGGUGAAAUGCGUAGAGAUGUGGAGGAACACCAGUGGCGAAGGCGACUCUUUGGUCUGUAACUGACGCUGAGGCGCAAAAGCGUGGGGAGCGAAC